UACGUAGGGUGCGAGCGUUAAUCGGAAUUACUAGGCGUAAAGCGUGCGCAGGCGGUUUGCUAAGACAGGUGUGAAAUCCCCGGGCUUAACCUGGGAACUGCGCUUGUGACUGGCAGGCUAGAGUACGGUAGAGGGGGUGGAAUUCCUGGUGUAGCAGUGAAAUGCGUAGAUAUCAGGAGGAACACCGAUGGCGAAGGCAGCCCCCUGGGCCUGUACUGACGCUCAUGCACGAAAAGCGUGGGGAGCAAACAGGACUUAGAUACU
rnacentral:rRNA from 1 species